UGCAGUCGGAUGUGAAUCCCUGGGCUUAACCCAGGAAGUGCAUCCGAAACUGCUUUGCUUGAGUGUCGGAGAGGGUGGUGGAAUUCCCAGUGUAGAGGUGAAAUUCGUAGAUAUUGGGAGGAACACCCGUGGCGAAGGCGACCACCUGGACGGCCACUGACGCUGAGGCGCGAAAGCGUGGGGAGCAAACAGGAUUAGAUACCCUGGUAGUCCACGCCGUAAACGAUGGGUACUAGUUGUUGCCGGUAUUGACCCCUGCAGUGCCAAGGGCGAAUUCCACAGUGGAUA
rnacentral:rRNA from 1 species